rnacentral:rRNA from 1 species
AGAGUUUGAUCAUGGCUCAGAACGAACGCUGGCGGCGUGGAUAAGACAUGCAAGUCGGACGGGAUUUUCCGUUGUAGCAAUACGAUGGAAAGUCUAGUGGCGAACGGGUGCUUAACACGUGGGCAACCUGCCAGGAAGUGGGGGAUAGCUCGCCGAAAGGCGAAUUAAUACCGCAUGUGAUUAGAGAGGACAUCCUUUCGAAAUUAAAGUCGGGGCAACCUGACGCUUCUUGUGGGGCCCGCGGCCUAUCAGCUAGUUGGUGAGGUAAUGGCUCACCAAGGCUUUGACGGGUAGCUGGUCUGAGAGGACGACCAGCCACACUGGGACUGAGACACGGCCCAGACACCUACGGGUGGCAGCAGUCGAGAAUUUUUGACAAUGGGGGAAACCCUGAUCGAGCGACGCCGCGUGGAGGAUGAAGGUCUUCGGAUUGUAAACUCCUGUCAUUGGGGAACAAGGUGCAUACGUUAACUGCGUGUGCAUUGAUAGUACCCGAAGAGGAAGAGACGGCUAACUCUGUGCCAGCAGCCGCGGUAAUACAGAGGUCUCAAGCGUUGUUCGGAUUCAUUGGGCGUAAAGGGUGCGUAGGCGGCGCGGUAAGUCGGGUGUGAAAUCUCGGAGCUUAACUCCGAAACUGCAUUCGAUACUGCCGUGCUUGAGGACUGGAGAGGAGACUGGAAUUUACGGUGUAGCGGUGAAAUGCGUAGAUAUCGUAAGGAAGACCAGUGGCGAAGGCGGGUCUCUGGACAGUUCCUGACGCUGAGGCACGAAGGUCAGGGGAGCAAACGGGAUUAGAUACCCCAGUAGUCC